AAAAAUUGUAGAAGCUUCUCCAGAAUUCAGUUUUAAAGAACAUUUCCGGAAGGAGCUAAGACCUUCACUAAAAAGUUUCUUGGAGAAAAAGAUAGCUUCUGGGUUCUUCACUGCUGAUUUCAGAGAAGAGAAAGUGGAUGUCAGAGAAGGAAGACUAUCUCAGGAACUUUGGGGCCUGUUUCCUUCAACUGAGAACUCAGUUCCCAAGACCAAAAUAGAAGGUUCAAACCAGAAGGGAGAGAAAAUUAAAAAAAAAACUGAGGCUUGAGGCUCUCUUCGAGAUGUAGAAGUGACUGUCUUCUAUGCUCACUCCAAUCUGUUAGCAUAA